rnacentral:rRNA from 1 species
AUGAGGGCUUUAUUCUGGAAUAUAAGGGGGUUCGGUGCUAGGGGGCGCCAUGACCAACUUAAAGAUUUGGUUCGUUCUAACUCUAUUGAUUUUGUGGGGCUGGUUGAAACUUUUAAGGAUUCCUUCUCCCCUAGUGAGCUCUCUGCUAUCGUGGGUAUGGAUAGAUUUCAUUGGCAAUUCUUACCUGCUUCGGGACACUCUGGCGGGAUUUUGAUUGGCUCUAAUAAGGAUAUUUUUGAUUUCAUUGCUUUUGAUCAUGGGUUUUUUUGGGCUAGUGUUGUUCUGUCUCACAAAUCUAUGAAUACCCUCUGUGAGUACAUCGUUGUUUAUGGGCUUGCGGACCACUCUCUGUCGAAACUUUUCCUUAAUGAACUCUCGACCAAGAUUGAGUCUUGUACUUUACCGAUGGUUAUUGGGGGAGACUUUAACUUGCUG